GACGAACGCUGGCGGCGUGCUUAACACAUGCAAGUCGAACGGAAAGGCCCUGCUUUUGUGGGGUGCUCGAGUGGCGAACGGGUGAGUAACACGUGAGUAACCUGCCCUUGACUUUGGGAUAACUUCAGGAAACUGGGGCUAAUACCGUAUAGGAGCUCCUGCUGCAUGGUGGGGGUUGGAAAGUUUCGGCGGUUGGGGAUGGACUCGCGGCUUAUCAGCUUGUUGGUGGGGUAGUGGCUUACCAAGGCUUUGACGGGUAGCCGGCCUGAGAGGGUGACCGGCCACAUUGGGACUGAGAUACGGCCCAGACUCCUACGGGAGGCAGCAGUGGGGAAUAUUGCACAAUGGGCGGAAGCCUGAUGCAGAAACGCCGCGUGCGGGAUGACGGCCUUCGGGUUGUAAACCGCUUUCGCCUGUGACGAAGCGUGAGUGACGGUAAUGGGUAAAGAAGCACCGGCUAACUACGUG
rnacentral:rRNA from 1 species